AACGUAGGAGACAAACGUUAUCCGGAGUUACUGGGCGUAAAGAGCUCGUAGGUGGUUUGUCGCGUUGUCCGUGAAAACUCACAGCUCAACUGUGGGCGUGCGGGCGAUACGGGCAGACUGGAGUACUGCAGGGGAGACUGGAAUUCCUGGUGUAGCGGUGGAAUGCGCAGAUAUCAGGAGGAACACCGGUGGCGAAGGCGGGUCUCUGGGCAGUAACUGACGCUGAGGAGCGAAAGCGUGGGGAGCGAACAGG
rnacentral:rRNA from 1 species